AUACUUCAGCAAUACAUAUGCUAACAUUGGAAUGAUAGAGAGAAAAUAAGCAUUGCCCCUGCACAAGGAUGACACACAAAUUCCUGAGGAAAAAAAAAAGAAU